AUGUGAUACUAUCAGUGACAUAAUACAGAUAUAAAAAGCUUUCAGCAUAUGAUCUCUUACAGAUAAAUCUUGAAAGGUACCAAGGAGGACUCAUCAAAUAUCAUCUGAGUGAGAUAGUCCUGAGAGCAUAACCCAUGAAUAUAAUCCAUCUGAGACAGCGCUUAACUCCAGAAAAAGUGUUGGUGAAAAAUACAUCCUUUGGUGGGCCAGGGUCUCCAUCCAAAGUCUUGAUGUCAAGUCCUUCCACAGGCUUCAGUUCACCGAGGACAGGUAGUGCGUCAUUGGAAGGACUGAUGCUGAAGCUGAAACUCCAAUACUUUGGCCACCUCCUGUGAAGAACUGACUCAUUUGAAAAGACCUUGAUGUUGGGAAAGAUUGAAGGCAGGAGGAGAAGGGGGCAACAGAGAAUAAGAUGGUUGGAUGGCAUCACCAACUCAAUGGACAUGAGUUUGAGCAAGCUCUAAGAUUUGGAGAUGGACAGGGAGGCUUUGCGUGCUGCAGUCCAUGGGGUCACAAAGAGUUGGACACGACUGAGUGACUGAACUGAGAGACAGAUAUACAGAACAAACGUAUGGACAGGUAGUGCUCUAGACUCUAAAUGUCUCUAAGGGCAGUUUUUAAUUUAUUCCAUGUGGAAAUGCAUGAGAAGACCCUGAGCCUGAUAGAAUGCUUUCGCAUAUGAUAGACAUUCAGUUAAUAUUUGGUAAUGAUGAUGGAUUUUAGGCCAAAUAUGUUUUGAGAGUUGAAGUCUUCUUGUGAACAAGAGUAAUAAAAAUGAUGAACCUUUAUUAAUCA
rnacentral:lncRNA from 1 species